AAGCGGUGGAGUAUGUGGUUUAAUUCGACGCAACGCGAAGAACCUUACCAGCUCUUGACAUGUCCAUUAUGGGUCUGAGAGAUCAGAUCCUUCGGUUCGGCCGGGUGGAACACAGGUGCUGCAUGGCUGUCGUCAGCUCGUGUCGUGAGAUGUUGGGUUAAGUCCCGCAACGAGCGCAACCCUCACCUCUAGUUGCUACCAGGUUAUGCUGGGCACUCUAGAGGAACCGCCGGUGAUAAGCCGGAGGAAGGCGGGAUGACGUCAAGUCCUCAUGGCCCUUACGGGCUGGGCUACACACGUACUACAAUGGUGGUGACAGUGGGAUGCGAAAGCGCGAGCUGGAGCGAAUCCCCAAAAGCCAUCUCAGUUCGGAUUGCACUCUGCAACUCGAGUGCAUGAAGUUGGAAUCGCUAGUAAUCGUGGAUCAGAAUGCCACGGUGAAUACGUUCCCGGGCCUU
rnacentral:rRNA from 1 species